rnacentral:rRNA from 1 species
AUUGAACGCUGGCGGAAUGCUUUACACAUGCAAGUCGAACGGCAGCACGGGGGCAACCCUGGUGGCGAGUGGCGAACGGGUGAGUAAUACAUCGGAACGUGCCCAGUCGUGGGGGAUAACGUAGCGAAAGUUACGCUAAUACCGCAUACGAUCUACGGAUGAAAGCGGGGGACCGUAAGGCCUCGCGCGAUUGGAGCGGCCGAUGUCAGAUUAGGUAGUUGGUGAGGUAAAGGCUCACCAAGCCGACGAUCUGUAGCUGGUCUGAGAGGACGGCCAGCCACACCGGGACUGAGACACGGCCCAGACUCCUACGGGAGGCAGCAGUGGGGAAUUUUGGACAAUGGGCGCAAGCCUGAUCCAGCCAUUCCGCGUGCAGGACGAAGGCCUUCGGGUUGUAAACUGCUUUUGUACGGAACGAAAAGGCUCUGGUUAAUACCUGGGGCUCAUGACGGUACCGUAAGGAUAAGCACCGGCUAACUACGUGCCAGCCGCCGCAGUAA